rnacentral:lncRNA from 1 species
UGCUGUCGAUGAUCGCUUCUCUAGCUUACACGAUCCUCAUCAUACUCACAAUGAUUGGUCUUCACAAGAAGUCUCAGUAACAUUUGAAAUCAGUGAUUUUAUCUAGGUUUGCUUAUCUAUAUGUUUUAUUGGUUGCAGAAGAGAAGUGGAAUUGUAUUUGAAAAAGUUGUGUUAGGUAUUAUUUAUUCUCUUUUUGCAGUUUGUCAAAAUUGGGUGUAACGUUGCAUUAAUAAAGUAUCCCAC